UCCGGCUGCACAGCUGGGGCCCAGAUGCUUCCUGGCAUGAAACCUGUGAGCGGGCCUGGGGCUCACGGCGUCCGCCACCCUGGGAGGUCUGAUCACACCCAGGGGUGGCGAGUGGAGGGUCCUCACUGUCCCUCGGGCCCAUCCGCUCCCAAGCACCGGCCUUCCCUGGAGCCGCAGACACCCUGAAAUGCAGGCGCUGGGUCACAUCCCUUCCCGCCCCGAUGCCACCAGGUGUCUCUGAACCGUGGACGCCCGGCGCCGGCUGCCGUCCUCAGUGUCCACCGCCACGGCCCACCCAGUGAACUCAAACGGCUCUAGGGCCCUCGCUCCCAGCUGGCCACGACCUGCUGGGCCGGGCUGCCUGGCUCCCGCUGGACUGCUCGGGCGACUUGGCCUCCUCGCUCCUCCGCUCGCUGGGGUGUUCCAACAACCGGCCCCCUCCGUCCCCUGGCCAGCUCCUGCGACAGCCUACCACGGGUCAGGGGCUGGGCGAGCGGGAUCCUCAGCCCCGAGCCCCUCCGGCCCAGCCUCCACCUCGCCGCCACGGGCCUGCUCUCCCAUGCGCUUGGGCUCAGUGCCUGGCCACUCGCUGUCCUCGGCAGCCCCUGUCCUGUGAACUGGGGUGUGCCGACACGUUCCCACGGACCACGGGCUCUGCACUUGCCGCACCAGGAGGCUGCCGGGAACACACUGUCUCCCUCUGCCCUUCGGAGACAGGCACAUGUGGAGGACAUCGCCUGCCUCCCUCCGGGCCGCGGCUGCUCCGGACGGCGCCAGAAGCCCAGGGGCUGCUGGUUUAGCAAUCAGGACAUCAGGACAGAAAUGAGCUCCUGGAAAAGUCGCUCUUCCCACCCCAGCAUGACUCAGGCCCGGCGCAGCCGCUCCCGGAGCGCAGCCUGGACCCGGGCUCUGCUGCCGUCUAGGCGUCUUUCGCGCCAGAAAGGGUGCAGCACCUGCCACUGCACACGGCGGGCACGCUGAGUCCCUGCCACUCCCCGAGUUACCCAAGACCGAGCCUCUUAAAGGUCAGUGUGCACCCAGGGAUCUGGUUCAAACGUGGCUCCCGAGUUCUUUGUCUUUCUGCGCGGCGCUGGGGUGGGGUCCAGGGCCUCACGCACGGUGGGCAGGCACUCACCACUGAGCUGCCUGGAGCCUGCACUUCCGGCGAGAGAUGCGGGAUGCAGGGGCUGCGGUGCCUGGAGAGGCCGGGGAGCCCGGAGCCAAGGCGGGGGCGGGAGGCCCAGUGUCCAGGCUGAAGCACUGGCGCGACUCUGCUUUGUCCCCCAGAGCUGCCGAAGCAGUCAAGCCCCGAUGGGUCCCCGCUGGGUGUGGUGAGCUUAAGGCUCCCACCGCUCACGGCAGUGCUAGGAGCAGGCACCUCUCCACCUCCGUCCACGGGAAAACAGGCCGGGCAGGCAGCGUUCCGGGCCACAAGCACUGCUGCUCAUG
rnacentral:lncRNA from 1 species